UCCCAGCCGCGCUCACUCAAGGCCCCGCGCGCGCUGCGUCGCACCCGCCGUGGCCGCCGCGCAGCCGCCCUGGGCCUCCCCCUCCUUGGGAAACCCAACCCUGGCCCCUCGCAUGGCACGUUUUUGAAUGGAGUUGCUGAUUGGUUGAACCAGGCCGGAAGGUGUGACAGAAGUGGAGUGCAAGGGGACUAGCGAUGCGGUAGAUGACUUUCUGAACCUGCAGCCUCAAGAGGCAGCAUACAACUUAUCCCAAACAUGGGAAUGGAGGGAAGGGCUGACUCUGCUCCCUGUGUCCUCCGUUCCUUAGAAGGAUUGCUUAGCCUGUGGAACCCCUCCUACCUGUCCUCUCCAACAGCAGACACUCCAGGUUUCAAGAGGACUGCUGUGCCUCUGUGCAUCACGUCUGUGUUCCAGGCAGAAGGGAGAAGUACAAAAGGCUGAAGAAGAAUGCUCCUUGGGUUUGUCUCUUAAAAAAUUUUUUUUCUGGGAAGAACACCAGGCAAUUCCCACUUGCAUAUCAUUGGCCAACCCUAGCUCCUAGGGAGCCUGGGAAGUAAGUAUUUUAAAUUUCCAGCCUUUGCAGCAAGGGAGACUGUGAACAAUUUGGUGUUAGCCGAUUCAUGUAUCUGCCAAAUAUACCUUUUUCUAUGUAAUCCCCCACAAAAGCCUUGAGUGGCUGGAAACACUAUAAUUUCCGUUUUACAAAUAAGAAAACUGAGGCCAGGAGAGGCAGAGAGUAGCCCAAGGAUACA